rnacentral:lncRNA from 1 species
CUAGACCCAUUUGUGUACAUAAUAUGAAUCCAUUCUACCACUUCUCCACUCUUUGCUUGAAUAGCUCCAGGGAGGGGAAAAGCCCAAGGUAGCUCAUUCUCUUAUUGUUUGGUUUCUCCAUCCACAAAAUCUAACUCUUAUUUUCUGAAAAUUCUAGCCAUUGCUUUUCAUUCUACUAUGUGGUUUAGGGAGAAUAAAUACAAUUUUUAAUAACAAUGACUUCAACUCUUAAAGCCAGCUAUAAUAUACUCCUUAUGUCUUCUUGUUUUUCAUUUUUUCUAGGCUCAAUAUUCUAACAUCCUUCCAACAGAUCUUGUAUUGCAGGAAUCAGUGAGAAAAAACAUAUACUUGAAAGAUUAAAAAAAAUUGGCAGAUGGCACAAAUCUGAAAGGAUUUUCAAAUAUACCGUAUAAUGGAUUUGGGAUCCAAAAGAAUCUCAAAGAGAGAGAGCAUUGGCUGAAUCCAGAGAUGAAAUUCACAAGGGAUCGAUGUAAAGCUUUCCAGUGGCAAAGAACUCAAAACCAAGAUGAGGUUAGCCCAUUGUUAAGACAGCAGGCCAAGAAAACACUCUGCAAGUCGACAGACGUUCUUCACGGACUAUGUUCCCUUGAGGGAAACAGCCUGGAGAUUUUGUAUGAUGUGGGAAUGGAGUCUAGGACAGAUUAAACUUGACAGAAAUGAAGAAAUUGUGGCUGAGAAGCUAUAUCACAAGGCUAGCUAGUAAGUAUAUAAGGAAGAAUGUGAACUUUGGUCUUCUAGACUCCAAGUCUAUCACCUUCUAUUGACAUCCUAAUUUGGAGUUACUUUCAUAAGCUUAAAUUAUUUUAAAACUAGAAG